CACAGGUGAACUGGAUGUGUUUAUUCAAUGUGUUUUUGGAAUGCACGUGUAAAUAAAAAUGACUGUGUCAUACUUCCCAUAUUCAUCCCGGAACCUCCUAGAGUUCCCUUAGGUUCUGCCAAUUGUACAUUGAAAGUACAACAGGCCCGUCGUGGGGAUUAAUUUUCAUUGCACAUUUCUAGGAGGAGGGAGGAGGAGGUGGGGAGAAUGUGACAGUCUCAACAACAGUUGCUAUACUACUCUUACCAAAGUGGUUUUCCUAUGUGCUUCUCAACAGAUUGGCCCUUUCUUCAAAUAAGAGCAGUUGGAACAACAAAAGCUGUUCAGUUGUACCCUUGGAAUCCACGGAAAUCCUGGGUAGGGAAGCUCCAGUACCACCAACUGGAAAGACUGGGAAUGCCUAGUAGCUGGUACUGGCCAUUGUCGUAGGCUUUGUCCACUUUGACAAACUGAAGACGGGGACUCGACUCACCUUCGCCAGCUACAGGAGGACCUCCAGACGAGGACCGGACUCGCCGCCUUUCUUUCCCGUCAGAAAGGGAUCCCUUGCGGACAGGACCGAAUGGCCCCUAAGGCUUCUCUGCAGGUCCAACCGAAACAGGCCUGAAGUUCCAGGAUGGGCGAGAGGAUCCUCUUUGAGCGAAACCAGCCUUCUGCCUGGCUGGCCCUGGUCAACACACUCGGAAGAGGCCGAUUUGGCGGACAGAACGGAAGAAAAGACCUAAAGUAGAUGAUCCUCAUCCAAUCACUUAAAGGCCUGAAUAGAACCAAAAGUCUGACCUGCCCAUGAGUAAGAGAGAGCUCCUUCUGCCUGAUUGCUUCAGCUGAGAUAUCAGCCUUUUCCUGCCUUUGGAAUUGAACUGCAACACUGGCUCUUCCUGGGCCUCAAGCCUGCCAGCUUUUGAACUGUAACCACACCAUCAUCUCUCCUGGUUCUCAGGCCUUUGGACUCAAAUCAGAAACACACCAUGGGCUCUCCUAUGUCUCAAGCUUGCCAACUGUGAUCUUGAGACUUCUCAGCCUCCAUAAUCACAUGAGUCAAUUGUUGGUUCUGUUUCUCUGGAGAACCCUAAUCCAUCACUUUACAUAUUUCUUCCAUUACGCAUAUUGUUUCCCAGCAUAUUAAAUAAUUUACUGAUUAUA
rnacentral:sRNA from 1 species